UACGUAGGGGGCUAGCGUUGUCCGGAAUCAUUGGGCGUAAAGCGCGUGUAGGCGGCCAAGCAGGUCCGCUGUGAAAACUCGAGGCUCAACCUCGAGACGUCGGUGGAAACCGUUUGGCUAGAGUCCGGAAGAGGAGAGUGGAAUUCCCGGUGUAGCGGUGAAAUGCGCAGAUAUCGGGAAGAACACCCGUGGCGAAGGCGGCUCUCUGGGACGGUACUGACGCUGAGACGCGAAAGCGUGGGGAGCGAACAGG
rnacentral:rRNA from 1 species